GUGUCCACUCCCAGGUUCAGCCUCAGCAGUUUGGAGCUGAGCUGAUGAGGCCUGGGGCUUCAGUGAAGUUGUCCUGCAAGGCUUUUGGCUACACCUUCACUGACUAUGUUAUAAACUGGGUGAAGCAGAGGCCUGGACAGUGCCUGGAAUGGACUGGAUGGAUUUAUCCUUACAAUGAUGAAACUAAGUACAAUGAAAAGUUCAUAGGAAAGGCCAUGUUGACUGCAGACAAAUCCUCCAGCACAGCUUACAUAGAGCUCAGCAGCCUGACAUGUGAGGAUUCUGCAGUCUAUUACUGUGCAAGACACAGUGUUGAAACCAUGUCCCGAGCAGUUAUCAGUGGCUGUGGUACUGAGGCAGUGGAAGAGCAGCCUGACUUCUAUGCAGGACUCGAUUUAAUUCAGGAAUCUUCCCAACAUAAUCUCAGAGCUGAAAUCCGUGUUGGAGGAACGGGAACUGCAAGAGAUGGUUCCAACUGA